CCUCCCAACUUGCUGGUUCCAGAUUUCACUAUUACAGACCUGUCUUCAGAGUCAGAUGAUAUCCCAGACAUUUUGGAUUUGGAUGAAGAGGAUCAACAAGACUUUUCACGCACAAAUGGCCCUUACACUACAGGGCAAAGAGCUGAAUAGAGAAGCAUAAAAAUGUAUUU